rnacentral:lncRNA from 1 species
CUCCCAUCUUAGAUAACCUCUUUUUCCUGAAAAUUUAAAGAGUUCAACUUUAUCAGCAAAAGAGUUAUAAUCAAACCGAGAAUUAACAACAUAAGGGUUGUGGGGUUUAGAAGUUGGAGUUUGAUUGAUCCUUGAAGGAUCUGGUGGCUUGGGCUCGACAUAGACUGCCCCUGGUACAUUUCCAAAUCUCCUUUCUCCUUCAUGUGGACGUUGGCCUUGUGCCUGAUUUCUUUUCUCCAAUUGAGCAAUCUUAAUUUGGAGCUGUUAUAGAGCUGCGGACUGUUGGCUCAAGGUGGCCCUUAGGUUUUGGCCGUGUCUCUCCUCCUCCAUUGCUUCCUGAAAAC